UACAGAGGGGGCAAGCGUUAUUCGGAAUUAUUGGGCGUAAAGGGCGCGUAGGCGGCCAUUCAAGUGACGGGUGAAAGCCCUCGGCUUAACCGAGGAACUGCCUGUCAGACUGGAUGGCUUGAGACCGGGAGAGGUGAGUGGAAUUCCCAGUGUAGCGGUGAAAUGCGUAGAUAUUGGGAGGAACACCGGUGGUGUAGACGGCUCACUGGACCAUAACUGACGCUGAGACACGAAAGCGUGGGUAGCAAACAGG
rnacentral:rRNA from 1 species